UACGUAGGUCGCAAGCGUUGUCCGGAUUUACUGGGCGUAAAGAGCGCGCAGGCGGCUGGUCAAGUCCGAUGUGAAAUCUCCCGGCUCAACUGGGAAACUGCAUCGGAAACUGAUCGGCUUGAAGAUGGGAGAGGGUAGUGGAAUUCCCGGUGUAGUGGUGAAAUGCGCAGAUAUCGGGAGGAACACCAGUAGCGAAGGCGGCUCGCUGGGCCACACCUGACGCUGAGACGCGAAAGCUAGGGGAGCGAACAGG
rnacentral:rRNA from 1 species